rnacentral:rRNA from 1 species
GCCAAGCCGCGAGGUGGAGCCAAUCCCUUAAAGCCGAUCGUAGUCCGGAUCGUAGUCUGCAACUCGACUACGUGAAGUCGGAAUCGCUAGUAAUCGCAGAUCAGCAUGCUGCGGUGAAUACGUUCCCGGGUCUU